rnacentral:rRNA from 1 species
CAGUCGUACCUGCGGAUAAUCAGCCUUUAGGAUGCGAUUCUGUGGAGCGUGAGGAGCUAAUCGCCUUCAUGCCUAUAUACUCGUGUACUUGGGGUGUACUUAUUCGUGAGGUAAGUUAACAUCAAUUUUGGUCGUCAUAAAAUGACUGGAGGAAUGUAGCUUCGAUCUCGUAUUGAAG